CGAGUUCGAGUUUCUCUUCGACAUGCGCGACCACCACACGAGCGGAAUGGCGUACAAAAUUCUUUUUCAAAAUUUAAACUGCCCGUACGCUCGCGACGGCGACCCCUCUCAUCGCGGUGGUUAUCGCCGAGCGAUGGCGCAAAUGAGCGCGCCUCAGAUAUUUCCUUUAUACGCGUGUAAUAGAAUGCGUGAUCAAAGUACCUUUUGUAAAUGAGCGACGAUCAAAUAUCUUGAUCUCAAUCUAAUUGGCUGAUCUAAUAUAUGUCGAAUAAUUUUCAUUACUUGGAGGACUUUAUGAGGAUUUGAACAAAUAUAUAUGUCGACUGCAUAGACUAUAGAUCAUUUAGAAAUCAAUUGGACAUGAAAUACUUGUAUUUUCAAGGAUCAAACUACCUUUUGCAAAUGAGCGACGAUCAAAUACCUUGAUCUCAAUCUAAUCGGCUGAUCUAAUAUAUGCCGAAGAAUUUUCAUUACUUGGAUGACUUUACGAGGAUUUGAAAAAAUUUAUAUGUCGAUUGCAUAGACUAUAGACCAUUACGACGAAUCACAUCGAGUCACACGUCUUGUCAUAGGACGAAAGAUUAAAGAGAAAAAGACAUCUUCGGAAUAUUUUCGAAUAUUUUACUUAAGAAUGACAAAGAGAUGGAUAAAACACAAACACGUAUGUCUGUUUCGACGUUUAAAUCGCUCAUCACUCGUGGCUCGCUUAAUAGGAUUCCAUCAACUGCCAUGUUCCAUCAAUUCUCAAUUCUUAAAUGAUCGUCGACGCGGCGCAAGAGAGUCACGCGAAGAUCAUCGCGAAGUAGCAAUUAUCGGGCCUCGUGUAUCGCGGGCGAUAUCUACGCUGUGCGAUACUGCAGCAGCUGUUCGGGGCCCGGCCGGACAUCUGCCGUCGACUAUUUCAUCUCUUUGGGCCCGCCUUGUCCCGUCAGAGACCGAAGGCCGAAGAUUUUAAAUGACGAGCUAUGCCGACAAUCUUGUCACCGAGUUCGAUUUAUAUUAGCUGUUAAAUGACACAGUUUUCUACGGUAUGUAUAUGUCUCGUUGCGGUACCUAUAACAACAAGCGAGCGGCUUCUUGCGGGAGUACCUCAUCUUCAUUUGCGGAACAAAGAAACGUGUUAGAAGUUUUAUGGCGAAGGAAUUUUCGCUGAGCAGCUGCAACCUGUGGCUGGCUAAUGUGGAAAGAGGCGUACAUCAGGGACGGCUUUUGCGGUAGCAGCACCCUUACGCUGAUAUCUCUUUAAAGAAGUCCUUUGUCAUCCUAUUUCUCCAGCUUUUAUUUGACAGAUGUGUGAACUACUUAUUUGGAUAUAAUUAUUUUUAUUAGUUUGUUAAGUAUAAUUUUUUGACGAUUUUUUAAGACUCUCCUUAUAUUUUUACAGCUUUAAAACAUACUGUGUUUAUUUGUGUUUCUAUCUUUACCUUUCUAGCUAGGAAUAAUGAUUUAUAGUUAUUUAAAUAGAUUUUAAAUUUAUUUAAGACCGCAAGGAAUUUUUUUUAUACUAAUGUCGUUUAUAAUAUUAAUUAAUUGAAUUAAUUAUUUUAUUUAAUUUUUAUAUUAUCAAUUAAUAGCUAAUAUGAAAUAAUUAAAACAAAAUAAAAUGCACCACAAACGAUAAACAUAAAUGGACAAUCUAGAUGAUAUAGAAAUAAUACGGUACUGAAAAAAAUCGAAUUGAGGACAAGAACAAGGCCAUUGACAAAUUACGUCAACAAGUUUUAUUUAUUUCUUUACGCAAAAUCAAAAUUGUCUUAUUUCACGAUUACACCUUAUUUAAUUUCUGACUAAAUUAAGGAAAGAUAGAUAAUUUUUUCCGCACUUGCACGUAUUAUUUUAUACUUAUGCUAGACAAUAAAAACUAUAUAAUACAUAUAUAAAUUUAUUUAACUCUUUCGGGUUUAGUACAUCGGUGCCUUAAAAAAAAAUCAUCAAUUAAUAUGGAUGAAAAAAAGGUGUGAAUUAAAAAGAAAACUACGACAAAUGAGAAUUUAACUCACAUACUUAUCUAGGAUGAAAAGUAAAAACUUUUAGUAAAAAUUCUUUGCUUUAAAUUUCUUUGCUUUAUUAUAUAUAAUUUUCUUUAUGUAUAAUAGAAAAUUAUUAUGUAAGGAUAGUAACC